rnacentral:rRNA from 1 species
AAUCAACGCUGGCGGCGUGCCUAACACAUGCAAGUCGAACGAGAAAGGGGCUUCGGUCCCUGGGUACAGUGGCGCACGGGUGAGUAACACGUGACUUAUCUACCCUCGAGUGGGGAAUAACUUCGGGAAACCGAGGCUAAUACCGCAUAAUACCCACGGGUCAAAGGAGCAAUUCGCUUGAGGAGGAGGUCGCGGCCGAUUAGUUAGUUGGCGGGGUAAUGGCCCACCAAGACAGUGAUCGGUAUCCGGCCUGAGAGGGCGCACGGACACACUGGAACUGAAACACGGUCCAGACUCCUACGGGAGGCAGCAGUGGGGAAUUUUGCGCAAUGGGGGAAACCCUGACGCAGCAACGCCGCGUGGAGGAUGAAGUCUCUUGGGACGUAAACUCCUUUCGAUCGGGACGAUUAUGACGGUACCGGAAGAAGAAGCCCCGGCUAACUUCGUG